rnacentral:rRNA from 1 species
AGAGUUUGAUCCUGGCUCAGGAUGAACGCUAGCGGCAGCUAAUACAUGCAAGGCGACUGUCGUACGGGUGCGUAACGCGUAUGCACCUACCUAUCACUGGGGGAUAGCCGGGGAAACCAUUAAUACCGCAUAAAACGCAUGUAAAGAUUGCUGAUAGAUGGGCAUGCGUUCCAUUAGGUAGUUGGUGGGUAACGGUCACCAAGCCGACGAUGGAUAGGGGAACUGAAGGUUGGUCCCCCACACUGGUACUGAGACACGGACCAGACUCUACGGGAGGCAGCAGUGAGGAAUAUUGGUCAAUGGGCGGGAGCCUGAACCAGCCAAGUCGCGUGAAGGAAGAAGAUAUGGUUCGUAAACUUCUUUUGCAGGGGAAUACGUUGUAUGUACCCUGAGAAUAAGGAUCGGCUAACUCCGUGCCGCAGCCGCGGUAAUACGGAGGAUCCGAGCGUUAUCCGGAUUUAUUGGGUUUAAAGGGUGCGUAGGUGGUUGAUAAGUCAGCGGUGAAAGUUUCAGCUUAACUGAAAAAUGCCGUUGAAACUGUCGACUUGAGUGUAAAUGAGGUAGGCGGAAUCGUGGUGUAGCGGUGAAAUGCAUAGAUAUCACGAGAACUCCGAUUGCGGAGGCAGCUUACUAAGCUACAACUGACACUGAAGCACGAAAGCGUGGGGAUCAAACAGGAUUAGAUACCCUGGUAGUCCACGCAGUAAACGAUGAUUACUAGCUGUUUGCGUAAGCGGCCAGCGAAAGCGUUAAGUAACCACCUGGGGAGUACGCCGGCAAGGUAAACUCAAAGGAAUUGACGG